rnacentral:tRNA from 1 species
UGGGGAGGGUGGAGUAAGACCACUUAAGCAAAUUUACAGUUUGCCGCCUAAAUUCGGCCACCUAACC